rnacentral:rRNA from 1 species
GUAAUCAUAUGCUUGUCUCAAAGAUUAAGCCAUGCAUGUCUAAGUAUAAGUCCUAUACAGCGAAGCUGCGAAUGGCUCAUUAUAUCAGUUAUAAUCUACUUGAUCAAUAAAGUUACUUGGAUAACUGUAGGAAUUCUAGAGCUAAUACAUGCAAAAGGGUUGGAGCGGGGGUAACCUCGUGAAGACCGCGUUUACUAGCCCAGAAAUCAGCUCGGGGUAUUCCAAACUCCUCUCGGGGGGGCUCCGAAUCCGAAGGUGAACCACAGUAAUUACGCGAAUCGAAAACUUAGGUAUUCGAUGAUGCAAACGAGUUUCUGCCCUAUCAACUUUCAAUCGUAGUGUAGGGGACUACGAUGGUUGUAACGGGUACGGGGAAUUAGGGUUCGAUUCCGGAGAGUUAGCCUUAAAAAUAGCUAACAUUACCAAGGUAAGCAGCAGGCGCGUAAAUUAUCCAAUCCCAAUUCGGGGAGAUAGUGACAAGAAAUAUCGGUGUGGAGCCCUACGGGUUUCACGAUCGAAAUGAGUACAAUUUAAAAACCUUAACGAGGAACAAUUGGAGGGCAAGUCUGGUGCCAGCAGCCGCGGUAAUUCCAGCUCCAGUAGCGUAUAUUCAAGUUGUUGCGGUUAAAAAGCUCGUAGUUGGCUCUCGAGUUGGGGAGCGUCAGUCCCCUCCAUCUUUAUCGGUGGGGGGAUCAAGGCUGAGCAUCUCCUUCUCAUCAUCUGUGUCGUAAAACAGCUGGGCUUGCUCAGUUGGACUACAGGAAUUUACUUUGAAUAAAUUAGGGUGUUCAAAGCAGACGAAAUCGUCUUGAAUACAUUAGCAUGGGAUAAUAAAAUACGACUUUGGUCCAGUUUACUGGUUUCUAAGGCCGAGGUAAUGAUUAAUAGGGACAGUUGGGGUCGCUCGUACUCAGUGGUCAGAGGUGAAAUUCUAGGACCCACUGAAGACGAACAAGUGCGAAGGCAUUCGACAAGGAUGUUUUCAUUAAUCAAGAACGAAAGUUAUGGGAUCGAAGAUGAUCAGAUACCGUCGUAGUCAUAACCGUAAACUAUGUUGACUCGGGAUCUGUAGAAGUUACAUGGAUGACUCUACAGGCACCGUGUGUGAAAACAAAGUAUUCGAACUCCGGGGGGAGUAUGGUCGCAAGGCUGAAACUUAAAGGAAUUGACGGAAGGGCACCACCAGGAGUGGAAUAUGCGGCUUAAUUUGACCCAACACGGGGAAACUUACCCAGUCCGGACGCGAUGAGGAUUGACAGAUUGAUCGUUCUUUCUUGAUUUUGUGGGAGCCGGUGCAUGGCCGUUUUUAGUUGGUGGAGUGAUUUGUUUGGUUAAGUCCGAUAACGAACGAGACCUAAUUCUGCUAAAUAGUAAUGUGAACAAGGGAGUUGCUGGUGGGGUUGGGCUUGCCCGGCUUCGUCAGGGCUUCCACUCAUUUGUUGGCAUCGUUUAUACUUCUUAGAGAGACCCUUGGUGUUCC